rnacentral:rRNA from 1 species
UGAUGCGGGUUACUACUUGUAGUAUUGCCUGCACAUUCUUGUAUAUUUAGUUGCAAGAUGUUGUCGGCGUGCACUUCUCCCCUAGUAGGACGUCNCGACCUGUUGGGUGUCGGUCUACGGCCCAAGUGAUAGCCUUUAAUGUAAUUUAAAAAGCAUUGAAGAUCCUUGGUGUUUUCUGACCGGCUACUUGGCAGUACUCGUACGGUAUUUAGCCGCUAAAUUUAUUAAGCGUCCGUAUCCGUCACAAGCGAGGCUAAUUUACUGAUAGUACGGACCUAGUGCCGUCGUUGGUAUUGGCCAGCUGUUGGUUGUAUGGUAUUCUAGGACUGGCUAAAAUUAAUUACCGGUCGGCGAUGCUACUGCUUUGGGUACUUUCAGGACCCGUCUUGAAACACGGACGAAGGAGUCUAACAUGUGCGCAAGUCNUUGGGAUUUUUUUNAAAUUAAACCUAAAGGCGCAAUGAAAGUAAAGGUCGACCUUGCNUCAACCGAGGGAGGAUAAGUUAUAUUAAGAUAUAGCUUCGCACUCCCGGGGCGUCUCAUUCUUAUUAUNAA